ACAGUCUGCAGUUCUCAUAAAUUAUGGUUCAAAGCAAUAUAGCAAUUUAUAUAUAUAUAUAAAUUAUAUAGGAAGUGAAGAAAUUAACAACGUCAUUGAAUCGAGCUAUUCUAUGACGUCAGUUCGAGCAACUGUUAAUGUCAUCUGCUAAGGACCAACGGUACAAGCGUGUGAAAUGUUCAAAUUAGGGCACUAACUGCUUUUUUCUGGAUAGUUUAGUUCUAUCAGUUUUAAACUGUUCUCCAUACUUAAAAUUCCAGAAAGAACCAUCCUUAACCCAUAUAUUGGUCCAGUUUUACCACAAGAAGAAUCCGUGGAAAACCUACGGUAUCUGGUAGAGUCUGACUACUAGAAGCAUUCUUAUCACGCUGCUUUCUUUGAUUUACCAAAAAUCUGUUUAACACUGAGUCAGUUUCCUCAAACAUUUCUUACAAAUCCUUCAAAACUUAGAAUUUCCCCAUGCAAAAUUCCUACUGUGAUCACAAGGACCAAGGCUUAAAAACAAUACUGAUAUUUUCGUUGAUUAGUUUCUCGACUAAACCGGAAUCAUAAAAUCCGUUCCGAUGUGAAUUUCUGUUACUAGAGAUAAAAUAAAUCCGAUUUAUAUAGCACUGGCUUGUCAUUUAACCGUGAAGUCUUACCAGAACAAAUAAAUCAUAAUUUAAGAGUUCAUGCAGGUCAUAGACCCCGUCAUAGUCUCUGGAUUUUAUCAGUACAAUAGUGUCAAAAUUCAUGUUCGUGUCUCGUCAAUGCGUCGACACUGAAGUGAUGAAGAUAACAUGCACAAAUUAAACAUCGAUUGGGCUGAUAGCAUGUGAAUUUCACACGAGCCCACCUGUGAGAAACACUGAUCUAUAUAAAUGCCUCCAGUUUGUCUCAGAUACCUAGAGAUCGCCUUUAUAGGAGCCUGUCAUUAUUUAUGGCCGGGGGGGGGGGGUGUCACCGAAGAGAAAUGUUUUUCAUGGUAAAUAUUUUGGUGAUCCAACCAUUAGAAAGACAACAAUUUUUGUACUCAACCUCAAAUAUGAAUAAAAAAAUAACUACCCACCCCUAGACAAAAACUUUACAAAAGGAUACCAUUCAGUUGUCACACAUGUUCUUUACCACUGACAUUAUAACAGCUUGGGCAAUUUUCUGCAGUCAUGUACUUUCUUUGGAGACACCAAUAUUUGCCUCCUGACAAAUCGGCCGAAAAUGAUGAAGAUAGUGACUCUGAUUGAUCUAUACAUACGACUGUUGACAUUGCUUUUUAGUCUUCAAUAUUUGAGCGAGUCAUGCUUUGGAAAUGACAACAAUUUUUUAUUACCCAACCCUUUGGUUGUUUUGUUUUUCAUUUACCCAACUAAAAUUUUAGUCACCCAAAAUGUUG